AGCGAACGCUGGCGGCAGGCCUAACACAUGCAAGUCGAGCGGGCAUCUUCGGAUGUCAGCGGCAGACGGGUGAGUAACACGUGGGAACGUACCCUUCGGUUCGGAACAACUCUGGGAAACUGGAGCUAAUACCGGAUACGCCCUUAUGGGGAAAGGUUUACUGCCGAAGGAUCGGCUCGCGUCGGAUUGGCUAGUUGGUGGGGUAACGGGAUACCAAGGCGACGAUCAGUAGCUGGUCUGAGAGGAUGAUCAGACACACUGGGACUGAGCCACGGCCCAGACUCCUACGGGAAGCAGCAGUGGGGAAUAUUGGAAAACGGGCGCAAGGCUGAUCCAGCCAGGCCGCGUGAGUGAUGAAGGCCUGAGGGUUGUAAAGCGCUUUUGUCCGGGACGAUAAUGACGGUACCGGAAGAAUAAGCCCCGGCUAACUUCGUG
rnacentral:rRNA from 1 species